rnacentral:tRNA from 1 species
GUGGAUGUAGCUCAGUGGUAGAACACUUGCCUAGCACGCAGGAGGCCCUAUUCAAUCCCACCUACC